AACGAACGCUGGCGGCAUGCCUAACACAUGCAAGUCGAACGAGACCUUCGGGUCUAGUGGCGCACGGGUGCGUAACGCGUGGGAACCUGCCUUUAGGUUCGGAAUAACUCAGAGAAAUUUGAGCUAAUACCGGAUAAUGUCUUCGGACCAAAGAUUUAUCGCCUUUAGAUGGGCCCGCGUUGGAUUAGCUAGUUGGUGGGGUAAAGGCCUACCAAGGCGACGAUCCAUAGCUGGUCUGAGAGGAUGAUCAGCCACACUGGGACUGAGACACGGCCCAGACUCCUACGGGAGGCAGCAGUGGGGAAUAUUGGACAAAUGGGCGAAAGCCUGAUCCAGCAAUGCCGCGUGAGUGAUGAAGG
rnacentral:rRNA from 1 species